AUUGAACGCUAGCGGGAUGCCUUACACAUGCAAGUCGAACGGAGUGGCGAACGGGUGAGUAAUGUAUCGGAACGUGCCCAGUAGCGGGGGAUAACUACGCGAAAGCGUAGCUAAUACCGCAUACUAUUGGAGCGGCCGAUAUCGGAUUAGCUCGUUGGUGGGGUAACGGCUCACCAAGGCGACGAUCCGUAGCUGGUUUGAGAGGAAGACCAGCCAAACUGGAACUGAGACACGGCCCAGACGCCUACGGGAGGCAGCAGUGGGGAAGUUUGGCCAAGGGGGGAAACCCUGAUCCAGCCAUCCCGCGUGUGAUAGGAAGGCCUUCGGUUUUUAAACCACUUUUGGCAGGAAAGCGGUACCUGCAGAAUAAGCACCGGCUAACUACGUGCCAGCAGCCGCGGUAAUUC
rnacentral:rRNA from 1 species